rnacentral:lncRNA from 1 species
UUUGUUAUGAAGUUAUAUUGCGUGAUGCUGAGGUUUGGAGCAUGAGUGAAUCUGUUACCCAGGAGAACAGCCAUGUGGAGAGAGACCACAAAAGAAGCCACGUGAGGAUGGAGGCAGAGACUGGAGCCACACAGCCACAAGCCAGGAGUGCCACAGAUGGCCAGACUCUGCCAGGAGGGCUCCUCCACACAGGAUUCCCAGGGAGCACAGCCCUCCUGCCCCUGGAGCCUGGACUUCUGGCCUCCAGGACUUUAAGACAGUAACUUUCUGUUGCUUGAAGCCACCAGCUGUGGUUCUUCCUUACAGUGGCCAUUUUCCAAGGAGUGGCUCCUGGUGUGAGGACACAGCAGCCACUGAAGGGGCCAACGCCGGCUUGCAGUGGCCGUCCAAAGGACUGGACAUUUCACCGCUGAAUCCAGAAGGGGGCCUGCCUGGCCUCGCCCUCUCGUGAAGGGCCACAGGCUGUUUGGGAAGGAACCCAAGGGUGCCCAGCGGGAAAGGCAAACUAGGAUGGGCUUCCAGGCACACUCUCCCCUAGGCCACCUCGGCCGGAGCCUCCAAGGGUGGGGCCCAGGGCCUCCAGCUGCUCUCAGGACCACCCACCCCCCAUGACAGAGCAGAAACCCACGGAUACCCGUUCCUCAAAAACUGUCCCCUGGCCCAUCCAGGAGGAACCAUCAGCUUACUGCGAACAUCGUGCUUCAAAAAAAGCCCUUAAACAAUAGAACCUUUUUAUUUUUUAACUUUUUAACUCAGCAGCCACUAUGUGAUAUUGUACACUGUCACAAUGUACAAUAGCUCCCCCUUAUCCGUGGGGGGCACAUCCCCAGACCCCCAGCAGAUGCCUGAAAUCUCAGACAGCACCGCACCUGACAGCCACCCAUGGGAACAUUGUUCACGUCUUCCAGCCACAGAUUUCCUGUCUUUCCCAUUUUAACUGAGUCCGUAUCAUGCUCUGUGGCUGUAACUUUUGCAUUUUGAGGUGUGACAGCAAAACUAGCAUGAAUUUCUUUUUCUUUCUUCACAAUUUCUUUAAUAGAAGAUUCCCUCUGACCCUAGUUCUUAGCAGCCUCAGCAAACAAUUAUUUUAUAUCCUUAUAAAGUGUAGAGCUUUCACCUUUUCAUUUAAGGAAGCACUUUACGGCUUCUCUUUGGUGUACCUGAAUUGUUGGUAUCACUACUCUAGUACUUUGGGGCCAUGGUUAAGUGAAAUAAGGGUUCCUUGAACAUAAGCACUCAGAAGCCACAAGAGUGGAUCUGAUAACCCAGAUGGCCACCAAGUGAUGAGAGGGUGGGAGCGCCCACAGCCUGGAGAUGCUGGACGAAGGGAGGAUUCUCGUCCAGGCAAGAUGGGGCAGACAGCAUGAAACUUAAGCAUGCAAUUCAGAAUGGUCUGCAAUUUAAAACUUAUGCAUUGUUUAUUGCUGGAAUUUUCCAUUUGAUAUUUUUGGGUCUUGGUUGACUAUGGGUAACUGAAACCAUGGAAAGAAAAACAAAAGAGAAGGGAGAACAAUUGUAUUGGAAAUACGAUGGUGGAUGAAACAGACAGCAUCUCUCCUCCAAUGCUGUGAAGGGGGUUUGUAUCUGAGACUCAUGCCCAUCCCUUUCCUGCCAUCUCCGCGGGGCUCUGAGAGGCUCCCCACAUCACAAUUUAGAAACUAUUGCUCAAUUCAAGGGAAGGCCCCACCUGGACCCCUCCUCAGGCUACUGCAGUCUGAUGGCAGCCCCGAGUCCCCUCCUCUCAUCCCAAACUGCUGGCCUGCGGGUCCUCACUCUGGC